rnacentral:rRNA from 1 species
AGGUUAAGCUGACGAGUGGCGAACGGGUGAGUAAUGUAUCGGAACGUGCCCAGUCGUGGGGGAUAACUGCUCGAAAGAGCAGCUAAUACCGCAUACGACCUGAGGGUGAAAGCGGGGGAUCGCAAGACCUCGCGCGAUUGGAGCGGCCGAUAUCAGAUUAGGUAGUUGGUGAGGUAAAGGCUCACCAAGCCGACGAUCUGUAGCUGGUCUGAGAGGACGACCAGCCACACUGGGACUGAGACACGGCCCAGACUCCUACGGGAGGCAGCAGUGGGGAAUUUUGGACAAUGGGCGCAAGCCUGAUCCAGCCAUGCCGCGUGCGGGAAGAAGGCCUUCGGGUUGUAAACCGCUUUUGUCAGGGAAGAAAAGGUUCUGGCUAAUACCUGGGACUCAUGACGGUACCUGAAGAAUAAGCACCGGCUAACUACGUGCCAGCAGCCGCGGUAAUACGUAGGGUGCAAGCGUUAAUCGGAAUUACUGGGCGUAAAGCGUGCGCAGGCGGUUAUGCAAGACAGAGGUGAAAUCCCCGGGCUCAACCUGGGAACUGCCUUUGUGACUGCAUGGCUAGAGUACGGUAGAGGGGGAUGGAAUUCCGCGUGUAGCAGUGAAAUGCGUAGAUAUGCGGAGGAACACCGAUGGCGAAGGCAAUCCCCUGGACCUGUACUGACGCUCAUGCACGAAAGCGUG